AUUGAACGCUGGCGGCAGGCCUAACACAUGCAAGUCGAGCGGAAGAAGGGAGCUUGCGCCUGGAUCCAGCGUCGGACGGGUGAGUAAUGCCUAGGAAUCUCCUGGGUAGGGGGGGAUAACGUCCGGAAACGGGCGCUAAUACCGCAUACGUCCUGAGGGAGAUAGUGGGGGAGCGUUGGACCUCACGCUAGCAGAGGGGUGUAGGUCGGAUUAGCUAGUUGGUGGGGUAAAGGCCUACCAAGCCGACGAUCCGUAACUGGUCUGAGAGAAUGAUCAGUCACACUGGAACUGGAACACGGUCAAGGCUCCUAAGAGAGGCAGCAGUCGGGAAUAUUGGACAAUGGGCGAGAGCAUGAUCCAGCCAUGCCGCGUGUGUGAAGAAAGUCUUCGGAUUGUAAAGAACUUUAAGUUGGGAGGAAGGGCAGUCAGUUAAUACCUUGCUGUUUUGACGUUAACAGCAAAAUAAGCACCGGCUAACUACGUG
rnacentral:rRNA from 1 species